CUACGGGUUGCAGCAGUGGGGAAUAUUGGGCAAUGGAGGAAACUCUGACCCAGCGACGCCGCGUGAGGGAUGAAGGCCUUCGGGUUGUAAACCUCUUUCAGUAGGGAAGAAGCGAAAGUGACGGUACCUACAGAAGAAGCACCGGCUAACUAUGUGCCAGCAGCCGCGGUAAUACAUAGGGUGCAAGCGUUGUCCGGAAUUAUUGGGCGGAAAGAGCUCGUAGGUGGUUCGAUACGUCGGAUGUGAAAAUCAGGGGCUCAACCCCUGACCUGCAUUCGAUACGGUCGAGCUGGAGUUUGGUAGGGGAGACUGGAAUUCCUGGUGUAGCGGUGAAAUGCGCAGAUAUCAGGAGGAACACCGAUGGCGAAGGCAGGUCUCUGGGCCAAUACUGACACUGAGGAGCGAAAGCGUGGGGAGCGAACAGGAUUAGAUACCCUGUAGUC
rnacentral:rRNA from 1 species